UACGGAGGGGGCAAGCGUUGUUCGGAAUCACUGGGUGUAAAGGGUGCGUAGGCGGUCCGCCAAGUCUGAUGUGAAAUCCCUGGGCUCAACUCGGGAACUGCAUUGGAAACUGGCGGACUGGAGUACCGGAGAGGGAAGCGGAAUUCCUGGUGUAGCGGUGAAAUGCGUAGAUACCAGGAGGAACACCGGUGGCGAAGGCGGUUUCCUGGCCGAGUACUGACGCUGAGAUACGAAAGCGUGGGGAGCAAACAGG
rnacentral:rRNA from 1 species